AGUGAACGCUGGCGGUAGGCCUAACACAUGCAAGUCGAACGGCAGCACAGUAAGAGCUUGCUCUUACGGGUGGCGAGUGGCGGACGGGUGAGGAAUACAUCGGAAUCUACUUUUUCGUGGGGGAUAACGUAGGGAAACUUACGCUAAUGCCGCUUACGACCUACGGGUGAAAGCAGGGGAUCUUCGGACCUUGCGCGAUUGAAUGAGCCGAUGUCGGAUUAGCUAGUUGGCGGGGUAAAGGCCCACCAAGGCGACGAUCCGUAGCUGGUCUGAGAGGAUGAUCAGCCACACUGGAACUGAGACACGGUCCAGACUCCUACGGGAGGCAGCAGUGGGGAAUAUUGGACAAUGGGCGCAAGCCUGAUCCAGCCAUACCGCGUGGGUGAAGAAGGCCUUCGGGUUGUAAAGCCCUUUUGUUGGGAAAGAAAAGCAGCAGGUUAAUACCCCGCUGUUCUGACGGUACCCAAAGAAUAAGCACCGGCUAACUUCGUG
rnacentral:rRNA from 1 species